rnacentral:rRNA from 1 species
UACAGAGGGGCAAGCGUUAUUCGGAAUUAUUGGGCGUAAAGGGCGCGUAGGCGGCCUGGCAAGUGGAUGGUGAAAUCCCUCGGCUUAACCGAGGAACUGCCAUCCAGACUGCUUGGCUUGAGACCGGGAGAGGUGAGUGGAAUUCCCAGUGUAGCGGUGAAAUGCGUAGAUAUUGGGAGGAACACCAGUGGCGAAGGCGGCUCACUGGACCGGUACUGACGCUGAGGCGCGAAAGCGUGGGGAGCAAACGGG